rnacentral:misc_RNA from 1 species
AACCAUAGAAACCUGCGGAGUACCUGCGGAAGGAUCAUUAUCGAGUUGCAAAACUCCAACCCUUUGUGAACAUACCUCAGUCGUUGCUUCGGCGGUGGACGGUCUGCUUUUCAGAACGGCCGGAAGCCGCCGGAGGUUCCAAACUCGUGUUUUGUUUAGUGUAUCUCUGAGCCUUAAAACAAAUAAUCAAAACUUUCAACAACGGAUCU